rnacentral:misc_RNA from 1 species
AACGCACCUUGCGCUCCUUGGUAUUCCGAGGAGCAUGCCUGUUUGAGUAUCAUUAAAUUAUCAACCCUCCAGCUUUGUUGCCGGGGUGGCUUGGAUGUGAAGGUUGCCGGCGCAAGUCAGCUCCUUCUAAAUGCAUUAGCAGAAACUCGUUCCCUGCGAUCGGUGUGAUAAUUAUCUACGCCGUUCCAAGGGGGAGAAAAAGAGGAUCAGCUUCUAACCGUCCUUCGGGACUUACCUUUUUAAUCUUGAUCUCAAAUCAGGUAGGAUUACCCGCUGAACUUAA